AACGAACGCUGGCGGCAGGCCUAACACAUGCAAGUCGAGCGCACCUUCGGGUGAGCGGCGGACGGGUUAGUAACGCGUGGGAACAUACCCUUUUCUACGGAAUAGCCUCGGGAAACUGAGAGUAAUACCGUAUACGCCCUUCGGGGGAAAGAUUUAUCGGUGAAGGAUUGGCCCGCGUUUGAUUAGAUAGUUGGUGGGGUAAUGGCCUACCAAGUCUACGAUCAAUAGCUGGUUUGAGAGGAUGAUCAGCAACACUGGGACUGAGACACGGCCCAGACUCCUACGGGAGGCAGCAGUGGGGAAUCUUAGACAAUGGGCGCAAGCCUGAUCUAGCCAUGCCGCGUGAGUGAGGAGGGCCUUAGGGUCGUAAAGCUCUUUCGCCGA
rnacentral:rRNA from 1 species